GCGGAUGGCCGGAUGGCCGCGGGCGGCAGCGCCCGAGGAAAGUCCGGACUCCACGGAGCGACGGUGCCGGGUAACGCCCGGCGGGGGCAACCCCAGGGAAAGCGCCACAGAGAACAGACCGCCCCCGUCCGCGGGGGUAAGGGUGAAACGGUGGGGUAAGAGCCCACCGCGGCCCUGGCAACAGGGACGGCACGGCAAGCCCCACCGGGAGCAAUGCCGAAUAGGGACCCCGCGCGACGCGCUCGCAGGGCGGCUUCGGCCCAGGGGUCCGGGUUGGCAGCUCGAGCGCACCGGCAACGGUGCGCCCAGAGGAAUGGUCAUCCGGGGGCGCGAGCCCCCGACAGAAUCCGGCUUACAGGCCAUCCGCGCAU
rnacentral:RNase_P_RNA from 2 species